AACUCUGGUGGCCUAGUGGUUAGAGCGUCCGCCUUGGAUGCGGGAGGUCGUGGGUUCGAUCCACUGCAGAGUCA